AUUGAACGCUGGCGGCAGGCCUAACACAUGCAAGUCGAGCGGCUGAACGGAGCUUGCUCCUGGAUUCAGCGGCGGACGGGUGGGCAAUGCCUAGGAACCUGCCUGGUAGCGGGGGAUAAGGUCCGGACACGGGGGCUAAUACCGUAUUAGUGCUGAGGGACAAAGUGGGGGAUCUUCGGAUCUUCGGCUCUUAGAUGAGCCUAGGUCGGAUUAGCUAGUUGGUGGGGUAACGGCCUAACAAGGCGACGAUCCGUAGCUGGUCUGAGAGGAUGAUCAGUCACACUGGAACUGAGACACGGUCCAGACUCCUACGGGAGGCAGCAGUGGGGAAUAUUGGACAAUGGGCGAAAGCCUGAUCCAGCCAUGCCGCGUGUGUGAAGAAGGUCUUCGGAUUGUAAAGCACUUUAGUUUGGGAGGAAGAGCAGUAAGUUAAUACCUUGCUGUUUUGACGUUACCAACAGAAUAAGCACCGGCUAACUUCGUG
rnacentral:rRNA from 1 species